CCCAGAUGGACUCCUCUGACAACCGGGGCAGAGCUAGGAAGACAAUACAGACUCUCAUGUUGCCUGCACAGAGCUCCCCACAAGACCACACUUCCUCCCGGGCUUUGAAGGGUACAUCAAUAUAAGACAAAUGAUACGUUCUAAAAAACCGCCUGCAAACACGGGCACCUGAGCCUGCUUGGUCUGCAAAUGUUUCAAGGCUCAGGGAGGCUGUCAUGGAUGUUUUCCCCCCGAGAGCUCCAGUGGCGGAGGUCUGCACAUUCAGACUAAGAUUACAUCCACUGGAGAAAUGUUCCAGAAUGGACUACUGAAUAUACAGGCCUCAAGGGGAAGGUAUAUCAGGAACCUUUGUCCCCCAAUGCCUGCAUGGAUACUACAGCAAUACUACAACCUCACAGAAGCUGCUUAACCCAUGGAUCCUGAAAACAUAGGCAAGAAGCACAGGUCCUGAUGAGUGGAUCUUUACUACUUUUACCAGAUU
rnacentral:lncRNA from 1 species